UAGGCUUCACUUUUCCAACGCCUCUUCUGUUUAGUUUUUUACUGUGUCGCGUUUUGGGUCUUCGUUAUGCUUUUUUGGGGAAUGUUCUAAUUCUCGAUUCCAUCUUACCUGCGUCUUCGGCGCUUCGCUCUUUCUCCAUUUUCAUCCUAAUUGAUUCAGGGUGUUGUUCCUUUGGGUUUGUGACUUUCGAUUUCCUUCAACUGCUGCCGUUCAUUACUUAUUUGGGUAUGUGUUUGCGACUUAUGACUUCACUCUCUCCAAUUUGUGCUUGAUUUUGGACCAGACAAUUACAAAGAGUUCUGUUGUUUUUGCAAUUGGAGAAUGCGAGCUUGGAAAAGAACAUCGAGUGGCCUAUAACAUCACCAAAGUUGAUUCAAAUGAUGUGUAUAUAGUUUGUAUUCUUUAUACUAUACUAAACAAUCCAGUUGUAUGUUACCAUAUACUUGAUUGGAUAUGGCAUAUUUUUUUCUAUAGUUAUUUGAUCGUAAUACAAGACAUGGAAGAAUGGAUCGGUGACAAACGGUUAAGAAUAAUGUCUCAUCAACAAGUUUCAUGGACGCAUAUGACAAUGGUAUAUUCUAACAUGUUAGAAUUAUUAUGUUCUCAGUUUCUUCUAUCCAGGUGGAAAUAUGUGGUCAUGUUACUUUAGAAGCCACUCACUUCCUUUUCAAAUUUGGCUUGGUGAAAUCUAACACAGUUAAAUUUACUUUUCUGGAAUUUUUAGUGCUAAAAGAGUUAAGGACCCAUUAGGGAGUGAAAAUGUGCAAUAUAUGUAUUGAAUAUCAAUACGAGACAUCUAUUUCAGCAAAAAAAAAAAAAAAAAAAAAAAAAAAAAAAAAAAAAAAAACCAGAGUUAUGAUAGAUGUCUUUAUGUUUAUUUAAAAAUAUAAUCCACCGUGUAACUAUUUCUAACUACAGUUUUGCAUACAAAUAUCUUGAUUUAUUAAAAUAUAGAUGAUUUUGACUGUCGUACCUCUAUGUGGUUUCACUGGUAGUUUUUGUCAAAAAGUCAGUAA